UAUCAAAGGUGGUGUCCCUGAAUCGCUGAUUCCUUCCUUCAGGUGUGUCCGCAGUACAAUUUAUCGUUACCGUCAAAACCGUAAACUACUUGAGACAUCAAGAAAUUUGGAUUUCAACAAAGAAAACAGAGAAAAUAAUUUAGUUUCAAUGGAAGAAUUAUCUACUAGUCUUGACUCUCCGCAUCCAGAAUCUUUGAGCUUAUCGUGUGAAGAGUCAGUUUAUUGGUCGGAUCCUGAACAGACGGAGCCUUUGUGUUUGGUGACAAGGAAAAAUGAUAAUAUCCCUUCAGAUUUACCACAAUCGUCAGCACGAAAAUUUUGCACAGCAAACAUGUGACCACUUCUUUUAAAGCCCUUCGGAUAAGUUUUAAGUUCAUUUGGUCCAGUGUUUAUCCCUCAUAAUCUAAUUGUUUGUUCCAGUAAUUUACCACCGAAUUAUUUGCUUACUAACCUGAUGUUAAGCCAGUCAUAUGUUUUACAGUUCUGUGCGGCAAUAUGGAUGCCAAGUACCUGCGUUUAGUCGAUUUACCCAUUUUGCUCUUGGCUGUUCUUAUUAGCCGAAUUUCUCCUUACGUUAAUACAUUCAUGAUUCGUGUGUUCAAGAGAAAUAACACAGCGGUGAUAAUCUUGUUUAGUUCUGAAUUAACAGGGAUCAAUAAAAACGAUUUAAAAUUA